rnacentral:rRNA from 1 species
UGGGGAAUAUUGCACAAUGGGCGCAAGCCUGAUGCAGCCAUGCCGCGUGUAUGAAGAAGGCCUUCGGGUUGUAAAGUACUUUCAGCGGGGAGGAAGGGAGUAAAGUUAAUACCUUAGCUCAUUGACGUUACCCGCAGAAGAAGCACCGGCUAACUCCGUGCCAGCAGCCGCGGUAAUACGGAGGGUGCAAGCGUUAAUCGGAAUUACUGGGCGUAAAGCGCACGCAGGCGGUUUGUUAAGUCAGAUGUGAAAUCCCCGGGCUCAACCUGGGAACUGCAUCGGAUACUGGCAAGCUUGAGUCUCGUAGAGGGGAGUGGAAUUCCAUGUGUAGCGGUGAAAUGCGUAGAUAUAUGGAGGAACACCAGUGGCGAAGGCGGCUCUCUGGUCUGUAACUGACGCUGAGGCUCGAAAGCGUGGGGAGCAAACAGG